rnacentral:tRNA from 1 species
GGAAUAGCUCAGUGGUCGAGUGUGUGCUUAGCAUGCAUGAGGUCCUGGGUUCAAUCUCCAGUACUUCCA